GAUGAACGCUGGCGGCGUGCCUAAUACAUGCAAGUCGAGCGAACAGACGAGGAGCUUGCUCCUCUGACGUUAGCGGCGGACGGGUGAGUAACACGUGGAUAACCUACCUAUAAGACUGGGAUAACUUCGGGAAACCGGGGCUAAUACCGGAUAAUAUAUUGAACCGCAUGGUUCAAUAGUGAAAGACGGUUUUGCUGUCACUUAUAGAUGGACCCGCGCCGCAUUAGCUAGUUGGUAAGGUAACGGCUUACCAAGGCAACGAUGCGUAGCCGACCUGAGAGGGUGAUCGGCCACACUGGAACUGGGACACGGUCCAGACUCCUACGGGAGGCAGCAGUAGGGAAUCUUCCGCAAUGGGCGAAAGCCUGACGGAGCAACGCCGCGUGAGUGAUGAAGGUCUUCGGAUCGUAAAACUCUGUUAUUAGGGAAGAACAAAUGUGUAAGUAACUAUGCACGUCUUGACGGUACCUAAUCAGAAAGCCACGGCUAACUACGUG
rnacentral:rRNA from 1 species